AGAGUUUGAUGGUGGCUCAGAACGAACGCUGGCGGAAGGCUUAACACAUGCAAGUCGAGCGCGCCCUUCGGGGUGAGCGGCGGACGGGUUAGUAACGCGUGGGAACGUGCCCAGAUCUAAGGAAUAGCCACUGGAAACGGUGAGUAAUACCUUAUACGCCCUUCGGGGGAAAGAUUUAUCGGAUUUGGAUCGGCCCGCGUUAGAUUAGGUAGUUGGUGGGGUAAUGGCCUACCAAGCCUACGAUCUAUAGCUGGUUUUAGAGGAUGAUCAGCAACACUGGGACUGAGACACGGCCCAGACUCCUACGGGAGGCAGCAGUGGGGAAUCUUGGACAAUGGGGGCAACCCUGAUCCAGCCAUGCCGCGUGAGUGAUGAAGGCCUUAGGGUCGUAAAGCUCUUUCGCCUGUGAUGAUAAUGACAGUAGCAGGUAAAGAAACCCCGGCUAACUCCGUGCCAGCAGCCGCGGUAAUACGGAGGGGGUUAGCGUUGUUCGGAAUUACUGGGCGUAAAGCGCGCGUAGGCGGAUUAGUCAGUUAGAGGUGAAAUCCCAGGGCUCAACCCUGGAACUGCCUUUAAUACUGCUAGUCUUGAGUUCGAGAGAGGUGAGUGGAAUUCCGAGUGUAGAGGUGAAAUUCGUAGAUAUUCGGAGGAACACCAGUGGCGAAGGCGGCUCACUGGCUCGAUACUGACGCUGAGGUGCGAAAGUGUGGGGAGCAAACAGGAUUAGAUACCCUGGUAGUCCACACCGU
rnacentral:rRNA from 1 species